AGACCAUUAGUAUAACGGAUAGAACGCGUCGCUACGAACGAUGAGAUAGGGGUUCAACUCCCUUAUGGUCUA
rnacentral:tRNA from 1 species